rnacentral:rRNA from 1 species
UACGUAGGGCGCAAGCGUUGUCCGGAAUUAUUGGGCGUAAAGAGCUCGUAGGCGGUUUGUCGCGUCUGCUGUGAAAACCUAAGGCUCAACCUUGGGCUUGCAGUGGGUACGGGCAGACUAGAGUGCGGUAGGGGUGACUGGAAUUCCUGGUGUAGCGGUGGAAUGCGCAGAUAUCAGGAGGAACACCGAUGGCGAAGGCAGGUCACUGGGCCGCAACUGACGCUGAGGAGCGAAAGCAUGGGGAGCGAUCCGG